rnacentral:snoRNA from 1 species
AUUGGCACGAUGAGGAAUUUAUUGCAUAAACAUUGAGAUCAGUUGAUCUUUGAAAUUCUAAAAUUAUACAUUAAAGUCCUUUUCAUUCUGAGUGCCCU